rnacentral:rRNA from 1 species
AUUGAACGCUGGCGGCAUGCCUUACACAUGCAAGUCGAACGGCAGCACGGGUGCUUGCACCUGGUGGCGAGUGGCGAACGGGUGAGUAAUACAUCGGAACGUACCUUAUCGUGGGGGAUAACGCAGCGAAAGCUGUGCUAAUACCGCAUACGCCCUGAGGGGGAAAGCGGGGGAUCGAAAGACCUCGCGCGAUUAGAGCGGCCGAUGCCUGAUUAGCUUGGUGGUGGGGGAAAAGCCCACCAAGGCGACGAUCAGUAGCUGGUCUGAGAGGACGAUCAGGCACACUGGGACUGAGACACGGCCCAGACUCCUACGGGAGGCAGCAGUGGGGAAUUUUGGACAAUGGGGGCAACCCUGAUCCAGCAAUGCCGCGUGAGUGAAGAAGGCCUUCGGGUUGUAAAGCUCUUUUGUCAGGGAAGAAACACCGGCUCUAACACAGUCUGGGAAUGACGGUACCUGAAGAAUAAGCACCGGCUAACUACGUGCCAGCCGCCGCGGUAA